UAGGCUGAUUGACUGGACCUAG
rnacentral:siRNA from 1 species